CCAUGGCUCCUGUGAAAAACCUUGUGGUGAAGGGGGGCAAAAAAAAUAAGCAGGUUCUGAAGUUCACUCUUGAUUGCACCCACCCCGUAGAAGAUGGAAUCACAGAUGCUGCCAAUUUGAGCAGUUUUUGCAAGAAAGGAUCAAAGUGAAUGGAAAAGCUGGGAACCUUGGUGGAGGGGUGGUGACCAUCGAAAGGAGCAAGAGCAAGAUCACUGUGACAUCCGAGGUCCCUUUCUCAAAAAGGUAUUUGAAGUAUCUCAACAAAAAAUAUUUGAAGAAUAUUGGCUGCGCAUAGUUGCUAACAGCAAAGAGAGUUACGAAUUACAUUACUUCCAGAUUAACCAGGACAAAGAAGAGGAGGAAGACAAGGAUU
rnacentral:lncRNA from 1 species